GAGAGAGAGAGAGCGAGGGUGCAGUGCCACAGUUCACUCGUACAUUCAGAGCAGGAGUGUCAGUGCUCUUUGAGCUUUGGUAGUCGAAGCACUUUCAGUUUAUUGCACUCAAGGCAGUAACAGCAAAUUUAAAAAUCCCAACCAAAUGGACUACACCAACAAGAUGAAUGCUUCUCUGCUUUUCUUUUGGAUAAAUGAAGAUAUUUUUUCCAAAAAAAAGUGAAGACACUUUUUCAUGACUCUCCACACUACUGUCUCGCAAGGACUAAUUUCAACCAACACAAAGUGUUUCUUCAACAGUUGGUCUUCUUCAAGACAUCAAGAAGAUCUCGAAAACAUCCGCUGCACGGACUCCACAGGGGCAGAUGUAUUCUUCAGGAUGAAUGAUGGUGAAGUAAAAAGGAAUCACACGUCGUGUUCUAGGAGAGGAAAGAUACUGUGGUAUCUUAAGAUCGUCCGAUUGCUCAAGUAUGUCUGUGUCAAAUUAAGACUCUAAAGGAGUCUAAAGGAUCACAAGUCAUGCCAGAGAAAGCGUAUGUGUUCUAACGUACACGUUCGGGGCCGUAACGCAUAUCAGGAAUGCUAUUUCAUUCAUCACUGGGGCUUGUUCACUUUGUAAACUUCAAAACUGAGAGUUAGCGUUUGAGUCUGUAUGCUCCUUUAAAUUACAAACAUGAGCAACAUCACCAAUUCUUCCUCCGUUGAUAGUGAUGCAGAUUAUAGAUUCAUGAUUCCUGUGGUGAUCAUCGUCAUCAUCAUCGUCAUCAUCAUCAUCUUGGGCAACCUGCUGGUCAUCAUUGCAAUAGCAAGGACAGCGCUGCUACAGACUGUAACCAACAUCUUUAUCAUGUCAUUGGCAUGUGCAGAUCUCAUCAUGGGGGUUAUGGUGGUGCCGCUUGGUGCUACCAUUGUCGUAACAGGCAGUUGGCAGCUCAGUGAAGAUUGGUGCCAAUUUUGGACAUCGGUAGACGUCCUGUGUGUGACUGCCAGCAUUGAGACGCUUUGUGCCAUCGCAGUGGACCGAUAUAUCGCAAUCACAAGACCCCUACGCCAUAAAGUGCUGCUUAGCAAGUGGCGGGUUCGACUGAUUGUAUGCUUAGUGUGGGUUGUGUCUGCUCUCACGUCAUUCCCCCCUAUUAUGACCAAAAUUUGGCAGGCUGAUGACACUAAAGCUCGUGGUUGCUAUAAUGAUCCGAAAUGCUGUGAUUUCAUCACCAACAAAGGUUUCGCAAUUGUAUCAUCAGGCAUUUCAUUCUACAUCCCUCUAGUCAUCAUGAUCUUUGUCUACACCAAGGUGUUUGCCAUUGCUACAAGGCAGGUGCAGCUAAUCGGGAAGAGCCGGCAGCGUUUCCAGAAUGAAAUUGUGGCAGGCAAUGGCAACAACAACCUACCAUCAACUACUAGCAGUGGCAGUGCUUCGUCGGGUAAACGGAAAUCCUCCCGACGAAGGCCAUCCAAAUUAUCUGUUGUGAAAGAGCACAAGGCCUUGAAGACGCUGGGUAUCAUCAUGGGAUGCUUUACUCUCUGCUGGCUGCCCUUCUUCGUAGCCAACAUCAUCGACACCUAUAAUCGCACCCUGAUACCAUCAGACAUUUUCCGAUUAUUAAACUGGCUUGGCUACAUCAAUUCAGGCCUCAACCCCAUAAUCUACUGCAGAAGCAAAGAAUUUCGUACAGCCUUCAAGAGCCUUCUAGGAUGUCCCUGGAUGCAAAUGCCAAGCAUGAACUACCUUUAUAAGGAGCUUAGGACUCGAUGUCCUUGUUUUCUGGGCUUGACAGAAGCAGGCUUAAAUGGAGCUUUCCAGAAGCCUGUCAGUUCACGAGGGACAAGGUCAGAUCCUGUGCCGCAGGAAGAUGGGGAAGAAAGUCUAGGAAGCACUCAGAGCAGCGACAAGAGUGAAAAACCAUCGCCGAGACCGUCGCGCUCCAACGGCAGCACACACUUCAGCGAUUUCUCUGAAACAGAGACUGAGUUGACAUAAACGCUGGGUAUUGUUUAUCUGUUCCUGUGGAGACAUGCACAGUACAGUAGCUAUGAUAGGAUCGGAAUCUGCGGCAUUCAGAGUGAUGAAGGGAGCGUUGAUGAAAUCAGAGGUGGAGGAAGGGAACGGCAUGAAGGAGAAAAAGAUGAGCGACGGCAUAUGCUACGCGAAGAAAAAAAGGACGAGGGAAGUGAUGUCCUCCCGAGGCCACGUUCCACCUUACAGGGGCUGGGAGUAUGAGAAUCCACAGCUUGGCUGAAAGACAGCAUGAGACAGCAAGAUAAAGAGAGAGAAAGAGAGCAAGAGAGAGAGCGAGAGCGAGAGAGGCGUAGACAGAGACGACCAAUUUCAACCGAGAUCGGCCAAACGUUCUGGCUAGCAGACCAGGGACUGCAAAGAGCCACAAAAGUAACCUCUCAAACGACUGUGAUGAAAUACACAAACAGGAUAAACCGAAUGGGAACGGCUGAUCGGACAGUGGCACGCACAGAGACGGCUCGCGCACAAGAGCGGAUGGACAGCGGAGAGCACAUCCAGGCUGCUAUUACUCUUGGCCUUUAGGGAAAAUAACUGGAUCAAACCAGUUAAGCUGGGUCAGUGUGAUGGACAACUAUCUAUAAAGGGACUGAGGGAAGCCAAGCUGGAUCUGAGUGAUGUGGAGUAAUCUCAAAGUGAUCAAAAUUUUAUGGAUGUUCUCACAGGCUCACUCUGUCCCAGCAAGUUUAUAUCUUUCAAAAGCGAGGACUUGGGGCGGGGGGGGGACGCUUCUGGUGCACAAACACCUACAACAGACCUACAACUUUUUUUUUUCCUUUUUAAAAAAUAAUAAUAAAAAAAAAAAGCACAGCAGAUGUAAUCUGUCAUUUAGAAUACAGCAAAAGUGUUUGAAACCAAAUUUUGUACUUAAUGUUAAAUUAUUUCCUAUUUAUUUUAUUCCCCAAUUUUACCUGUGAAUGUGCAAAAAGUUUAUCAGAACGAUACAGGUAUUCAUGUCAGACAGGUUCACGUCUGCUCGUGGACAUGUAUAGCCAAUAGUAUGGUAGCUAAUGUUUUCUGUUUUUCUUAAUAAGUCCUUUAUAAGCUGCAAACUCACCAUGUGCACAAAACUCGAACUCUUUGGCUAACCUCCCAAAAAAAAAAAAAAAAAAAAGGAGAAUCGCCUUAGUUUUCUGUUCCUUUUAUUCACUUUUAGAGCUGCUAAAAUGUUUAUUUUAAUUCAUUCAGAGACAAAAGAUUGACAUGUUUCAGUCGUCUGAUCCCCAAGGCAUGGCACACGAUAUUACUCUGUAUUAUACUUUUGUUUAAAUAGCUUUUUAUACUAACAAAACUCCCAAAAUAGAAUUUAUUCUAAUAUUUAAAAAAAAAAAAACAACAACUUAGGAAGAACGGAUUCCACUUUAUUAAAUGUAACACGGUGGUGUUUCAUUAUCAGGUGCAAUUGUUGAGGAUUUCAAUUCCUGUGAGGGAAGUAACUGAAAAGGAAAUUAAUAAUAAUAAUAAUAAUAAUAGUAAAUGCAACGACGGACACACUUUUGCGGAUCUCAGGAUAUUUGUUGUGCCCUCUGAUACAGUUCUUUUUUUGUUUGUUUUGUUUUUCUGUUGCUUUUUUUUUUUGGUUUUGUUUUUCAGAGGAAUCGAUCGGUAGCAUCCAUACUGCUUUUUGAGCUGUGUACAUAAUUCCUUGUUCAAUGUGAUUUUAUUGUACCAUUAAUAAAUAACAGAACAGAUAAAUAACAGGAUGUAAAAAAAUAUAUAUCCAGGGCUGCACAAUUAUUUAAAAAAAAAAAAAAAAGAAAGAAAAGAAAGAAAGAAAAAUAGAGCAACUUUCAUUAUUUCAAUGUUGUCAUUGCGGUCUUUAUAAAAUCUGUUAUUGUGGUGAAAAGUGAUUUAAUAAAGCCUAAGCCUGGAGUUAUGAGCCAUUCUCAGCAGAGAUUUAAACAUUAAACUAAAGAUUUAACUAAAGCAAAUCCCUUAAUACUAAAACACAGACAUUGUAACACCAGUGCCAGACUAUUUGAACAUGUUAUUUGAAGAGCAGUGCUGCUUUGAAACCAAAAAUGCCUUAUAUAUAUAUAUAUAUAAGUUAAAACAUUUAAAAAUUCAAAUUCCUUUUUAUUGGUUGUAAAGGAAAUGAAGGAAGGAGGGAGGGAGGAAGGAGUAAGGCAAAAGGAAGUUAAGCGAGGGAAGGAAAGAAAGAGUUGGAAGAAAUGAAGGACGGCUAAAAAGGAAAGACGUGAGCAAGCCGUGAAAGAAAGGGAAGAAAAGAAGGAACGGGAAGAAAGGGAAACAACGCAACGAAACAGAAGGAACGAAGUUAAGAGAAGGAAAGAAGGAAGGAAGGACAGAGUGGGAAAAAAGGGAAGGGAGGAAGCAAGGAAUAAGGUAAAAGGAAGUUAGGGGAAGGAAGGGGAGAAAUAGUUGGAAGAAAUGAAGGAAGGCAGAAAGGAAAGAAUCGAGCAAGUAGUGAAAGAAAGGGAAGGAAAGAAAGAAUGGAAAGAAAGGAAGCAACGAAACAGAAGGAACGAAGUUAAAGGAAGGGAGGAAGGAAGGAAGGACGGCGUGAAAGAAAAGGAAAGUCGGAAGGAAAGAAAGGGAAAGAAGGAAGGAACAAAACAAUAAAGUUGGAAGGACUUAAGAAAAGGAAGAAAGGAAUAACAAGUUAAGAAAACUGAUUAAAAUUUGUGUACUGUAUGUACACUAGAUAUUAACAUGUGGCAUUUCCUCCUAAUGCAAACAACAAUAAAAUAUAUUUAUUUAGCAACAAAUAAAUUUACUAUCUGCACUUCAAACAAAUCUUCUAUGAAUCUGAUCGGCAGAAGAAGCUGGGCUGGAGUGUUUAAAUGAGACAAAGCAAAUGCUUGUGAUUAGUGCUGGAUACUGCACUUUGUCUAAAUGUUGUGUGGUUGUGCACUGCUUCACUACAGACCUCAACACACCGGCCAUGGCACUGCCUGGGCUGCACUGCCAUCAGCCCAUUAAACACACAGAUGGAACCAGUUAGCCAAAUAUGCUGCUGAGGACACGGCAUGUUCAGCCUGUUUCUGCUCAUCAACCAACAGAGAAAAGCAGAAAAACAAUGGUUUUGUAACAAGGUUUUGAGCAAACACAUAUGAACAGUUACAAAAGUUUUGGAGUCAGGGAGGGGCAGUGGGCUUAACAAGCACAGCAUUUCCUGAAAUCCAACAAAUAUCGAACAGAAAUGUACCUCCGGCUCAGCUUCAUCUCUCCUCAGGUCAGGUAAAGCUCGGAGCGUCCGAUAUUUCAAACCUGUAACGUUUCGAGAAGCAACUACAAAAUGGAAAUCAAUGCAGAGAGGCUGGGAGAAGAACAAAAGGGCUUCCUGGAAGAGUACAUCACAUUACACUUGCGCAUUCAGUAACAGUAGCCCAUCUGCAGAUUCUCCAAAGCAAAUAUACAGUUGAAUAGGAAAGUACAUCAGUGGCACAGUGUCUCUAAAAACACUGUCCAGUUUACCUGAUAUCAUCAAAUUAUAACCAAAUGUUAGACUGUUCUUCCUGGAUAUAGACUCAGGGAGAGUUUCCAUUGCAAGUGUCUAUUUUCAGCCAGUUUAAAAAAUAAUAGUAAUACUAAUAAUAAAUUUCCAUCUGGAAAUCUGACUGAAAAAUAUCUGUGGAUUUACUUUUGGAAGAAUUGGAAAGGUACUACUCAAAAUAAAAACUGAGCAAACCAUUAAUUGUAUGGUUAUACUUAAGCUCAGCAUAAAAAAUAAAAAGAAAAUGCCAGGAACAAACAAAAACAAAAACAAACAAAACCCAGAACUAGCCCAGCCUUAAAAUAUAUUUGAAAUUUUGUCCUCCAACCAAUGGGAAUGGUGCUUUUUGUCCUCAGAAUAAACUGCAGCACUCGGUAGGGUGUCAAAGUGCAGAUAAGCAGACGCACAAGAUAGCAGAGGGAUAGCGUGAGUCAUGUGUGCACCUUCUUAGAACUCUCUAAAGAUGAAACAGGAAUUCCUUUUAAGAGUUAAGAUAAAAAGUCAAAGUGCUGGCUAGAUGGAGCGACCAUUUUAGAAAGCAACAUGGCAGGCAGUUGGACUUGUUUGCAACUGAAAGUCUCUGUUCAACUACGCCCAAGAGGCCACCUGAAGGAAAUGAAUAAGAAUUCAUUUUGGGCUCUAAUUUUCCCUUGGCGCUUAUGCGUCUUGGCGUAUGCUUUUAGCAAAAGUGGCUUUCACGUUGAGACGGCAUUACAAUUAAACCAUAAAGCUGAACAGUAAAGGGUUAAAGGUCUUGCUCGAGGGUCACGCACUGGAAUUUACAACGGCGAGUCCAUGAUUGAGGUGCCAUGUGUGUCCCACUGAAACCACAUCUACAAAUGUGCAUGGAAUGUAAUGGUAUAAGACACUGUAAACAGGUUAAGUGUCCUUCACUACAACCUAUGCGCAUUUUCAGACUUAAAACAUUAAUAAAAACCUAUCUAGAGCACUACAGCAUUUUUCCUGUCCCAUCCCACUAUAAUGACAUUUUACUGAAAAAAAUAUUUGAUCCUUUUUUAAAUAUUAUAUUACUUUGUGUGGAAAAAUGGUCCUUUGGAAUAUUUUUCCACAGGUCACGUUAAACAGGAAAUUACAUCACCAAAUUUCCUAAAGAUCAUGGGAAGAAGAAGAAGAAGAAGGAGGG